rnacentral:rRNA from 1 species
UACGAAGGGUGCAAGCGUUACUCGGAAUUACUGGGCGUAAAGGGUGCGCAGGCGGCGCUGCAAGUCGGGUGUGAAAUCCCCGAGCUUAACUUGGGAAUUGCGCUCGAAACUACGAUGCUAGAGUGUGGCAGAGGAAGGUGGAAUUCCACGUGUAGCGGUGAAAUGCGUAGAGAUGUGGAGGAACACCGAUGGCGAAGGCAGCCUUCUGGGCCAACACUGACGCUCAUGCACGAAAGCGUGGGGAGCAAACAGG